UACGUAGGGGGCAAGCGUUGUCCGGAUUUACUGGGCGUAAAGAGCGUGUAGGCGGCCACGCAGGUCCGUUGUGAAAACUGGAGGCUCAACCUCCAGCUGUCGACGGAAACCGUGUGGCUAGAGUCCGGAAGAGGAGAGUGGAAUUCCUGGUGUAGCGGUGAAAUGCGCAGAUAUCAGGAAGAACACCAAUGGCGAAGACAGCUCUCUGGGACGGUACUGACGCUGAGACGCGAAAGCGUGGGGAGCGAACAGG
rnacentral:rRNA from 1 species